GACGAACGCUGGCGGCGUGCUUAACUCAUGCAAGUCGAACGGUGAAGGUGGGAGCUUGCUCCUGCUGGAUCAGUGGCGAACGGGUGAGUAACACGUGAGUAACCUGCCCUUGACUCUGGGAUAAGCGUUGGAAACGACGUCUAAUACCGGAUACGAGCUUCAGCCGCAUGGCUAGGAGUUGGAAAGAUUUUUCGGUCAAGGAUGGACUCGCGGCCUAUCAGCUUGUUGGUGAGGUAAUGGCUCACCAAGGCGACGACGGGUAGCCGGCCUGAGAGGGUGACCGGGCAGACUGGGACUGAGACACGGCCCAGCCUCCUACGGGAGGCAGCAGUGGGGAAUAUUGCACAAUGGGCGCAAGCCUGAUGCAGCAACGCCGCGUGAGGGACGACGGCCUUCGGGUUGUAAACCUCUUUUAGCAGGGAAGAAGCGCAAGUGACGGUACCGGGUGAGGAAGCCCCGGCUAACUCCGUGCCAGCAGCCGCAGUAAAAC
rnacentral:rRNA from 1 species